AUAUGGAACUUAGAGUAUCUAAGGCUGGGGUCAACUUAUUACUGACUAAAUGGAUGAAGGAUUUGGAGAAGAUAUUCUAUGGGAAUAUUGUUGCUUAUGAUGCUGCCGUGCUUCCGGAGGCUAGGCAGGAUGAGCUGCAAAAUGUGAUUUGGAGGAAUGUCUUUUCUGAUGAUGGUUCAUCACAACCAAAUGGUGAUGCAUCACGAGCAGUCCAGGCA